rnacentral:rRNA from 1 species
UACGUAGGUGGCAAGCGUUGUCCGGAUUUAUUGGGCGUAAAGCGAGCGCAGGCGGUUUCUUAAGUCUGAUGUGAAAGCCCCCGGCUCAACCGGGGAGGGUCAUUGGAAACUGGGAGACUUGAGUGCAGAAGAGGAGAGUGGAAUUCCAUGUGUAGCGGUGAAAUGCGUAGAUAUAUGGAGGAACACCAGUGGCGAAGGCGGCUCUCUGGUCUGUAACUGACGCUGAGGCUCGAAAGCGUGGGGAGCAAACAGGAUUA